UCUUAAGUUUUGUCAGUAAAUAAGGAGGCA
rnacentral:piRNA from 1 species